rnacentral:siRNA from 1 species
GCUGGUUGCUCCGUUAUAUGC